UUUAGAUUACCCUGAAUGAUUUUAUCUGAUCUUAGAUGCUAAGCAGGAGAAGGGCUGGUUGGUGCUUGGAUGGCAGACCAUCAGGAAAUACCUGUUGCUAUAG
rnacentral:rRNA from 1 species